CCCUUAGAUGUCCUGGGCCGCACGCGCGCUACACUGAACGGAUCAGCGCGUGUUCCCUUCCCGAGAGGGACGGGUAACCUGCUGAACCCCGUUCGUGGUAGGGAUCGGGGCUUGCAAUUAUUCCCCGUGAACCAGGAAUGCCCAGUAAGUGCAAGUCAUAAGCUUGCGUUGAUUACGUCCCUGCCCUUUGUACACACCGCCCGUCGCUACUACCGAUUGAACGUUUUAGUGAGGUACUCGGACUGAGCCUCAGAAGAUUCACGUCUUUUGUGCUGCUCGGGAAGAUUCCCAAACUUGAGCGUUUAGAGGAAGUAAAAGUCGUAACA
rnacentral:rRNA from 1 species